rnacentral:rRNA from 1 species
ACAACGCUGGCGGCAGGCUACACUGCAGUCGAGCGCGCCUUCGGGCGAGCGGCGGACGGGUUAGUAACGCGUGGGAACGUGCCCAGAUCUACGGAAUAGCCACUGGAAACGGUGAGUAAUACCGUAUACGCCCUUCGGGGGAAAGAUUUAUCGGAUUUGGAUCGGCCCGCGUUAGAUUAGGUAGUUGGUGGGGUAACGGCCUACCAAGCCUACGAUCUAUAGCUGGUUUUAGAGGAUGAUCAGCAACACUGGGACUGAGACACGGCCCAGACUCCUACGGGAGGCAGCAGUGGGGAAUCUUGGACAAUGGGGGCAACCCUGAUCCAGCCAUGCCGCGUGAGUGAAGAAGGCCCUAGGGUCGUAAAACUCUUUCGCCUGUGAUGAUAAUGACAGUAGCAGGUAAAGAAACCCCGGCUAACUCCGUGCCAGCAGCCGCGGUAAUACGGAGGGGGUUAGCGUUGUUCGGAAUUACUGGGCGUAAAGCGCACGUAGGCGGAUUAGAAAGUUAGAGGUGAAAUCCCAGGGCUCAACCCUGGAACUGCCUUUAAAACUACUAGUCUAGAGUUCGAGAGAGGUGAGUGGAAUUCCGAGUGUAGAGGUGAAAUUCGUAGAUAUUCGGAGGAAC